rnacentral:rRNA from 1 species
CACCGGCAGCUCUAGUGGUAGCUGUUUUUUAUUGGGCCUAAAGCGUCGUAGCCGGUUUGAUAAGUCACUGGUGAAAUCUUGUAGCUUAACUGUGAGAAUUGCUGGUGAUACUGUUGAACUUGAGGUCGGGAGAGGUUAGCGGUACUCCCAGGGUAGAGGUGAAAUUCUGUAAUCCUGGGAGGACCACCUGUGGCGAAGGCGGCUAACUGGAACGAACCUGACGGUGAGGGACGAAAGCCAGGGGCGCGAA